rnacentral:rRNA from 1 species
GACGAACGCUGGCGGCGUGCUUAACACAUGCAAGUCGAACGGAAAGGCCCUGCUUUUGUGGGGUGCUCGAGUGGCGAACGGGUGAGUAACACGUGAGUAACCUGCCCUUGACUUUGGGAUAACUUCAGGAAACUGGGGCUAAUACCGGAUAGGUGCUCCUGCUGCAUGGUGGGGGUUGGAAAGUUUCGGCGGUUGGGGAUGGACUCGCGGCUUAUCAGCUUGUUGGUGGGGUAGUGGCUUACCAAGGCUUUGACGGGUAGCCGGCCUGAGAGGGUGACCGGCCACAUUGGGACUGAGAUACGGUCCAGACUCCUACGGGAGGCAGCAGUGGGGAAUAUUGCACAAUGGGCGGAAGCCUGAUGCAGCAACGCCGCGUGCGUGAUGACGGCCUUCGGGUUGUAAACCGCUUUCGCCUGUGACGAAGCGUGAGUGACGGUAAUGGGUAAAGAAGCACCGGCUAACUACGUG